rnacentral:lncRNA from 1 species
UGAAAGGGGGGAUGAUAUUGAAAUUUCAAUUAAUAAUUUGUGUAUCUAAGAGUUUUAUAAAAAUUAUAUCAUAAAUAACACCCUUAUAUGAAUAGAAGGCUGGAGAAGAAUAGGAAACUGUCAAUGAGGAAUCUAUUUAAAGCUGAAGAGGGAGAAAAAAGACGAGAAGUAGGCAGACCGACGACAACGACAACAACAGUGUACAGGCCAAUGAACUCUCCGAGCGCUCCACGACGUUCGCCCCAACUGUGUAACUACUAGUGACUGACAGAGUGAUUCUUCUACACCAUGAUAGUCGGUUGUUCGUACGUAGUAUGUACAUCAAUGGCAAUAAUAAUUAUAAUCAUAAGCAAAAGAUGAAUGUAAUGAGAGUAGAGUCUGACAGCAUCAGCUCGAAGAACCAACAACUAAGGAAGAGAAUAUGUCAGAUGAAGGAGUUGCGGAACACAGACGACAGCUGAUACAUAAUAAUAACAGAUAUGACGCUAUACGUACAUCUUCUCAUAAACUCUCCAUUUCAUAUAAGCGCGUCAAGAGAAAAACGAGGAGAAGAAGUACUACUAUUAUUAUAAUGUGUAGAGUUCGCACUCCUAUUGGCCUCUUUUAUUGCAAAUUUGAUCAAGUAAUACAGACUACUAUUAGUCAUAUACAUACAUAGAUAGCCUAUAAGCAGCACUGUGCAAUAUAUUUAUUGUAUACAGAUAGUUAUGUAUUUGAUGUUUUAAUCAUUAUGAUUUGAUGGUGUCCUUGACGCGUGUCAUUGAACCCUCAUUUUAUCAUUUCAUAUGUGUACUUAUAAACAUAAUAAAAUGAUGGGAAAAUGA